UACGUAGGGUGCAGGCGUUAAUCGGAAUUACUGGGCGUAAAGCGUGCGCAGGCGGUCUAUUAAGACAGGUGUGAAAUCCCCGGGCUUAACCUGGGAAUUGCGCUUGAAACUAGCGGGCUUGAGUGUGGCAGAGGGGGGUGGAAUUCCACGUGUAGCAGUGAAAUGCGUAGAGAUGUGGAGGAACACCGAUGGCGAAGGCAGCCCCCUGGGUCAACACUGACGCUCAUGCACGAAAGCGUGGGGAGCAAACAGG
rnacentral:rRNA from 1 species